rnacentral:rRNA from 1 species
CCUACGGGAGGCAGCAGUGAGGAAUAUUGGUCAAUGGACGAGAGUCUGAACCAGCCAAGUAGCGUGAAGGAUGACUGCCCUAUGGGUUGUAAACUUCUUUUAUAUGGGAAUAAAAUGUUCCACGUGUGGGAUUUUGUAUGUACCAUAUGAAUAAGGAUCGGCUAACUCCGUGCCAGCAGCCGCGGUAAUACGGAGGAUCCGAGCGUUAUCCGGAUUUAUUGGGUUUAAAGGGAGCGUAGGUGGAUUGUUAAGUCAGUUGUGAAAGUUUGCGGCUCAACCGUAAAAUUGCAGUUGAAACUGGGAGUCUUGAGUACAGUAGAGGUGGGCGGAAUUCGUGGUGUAGCGGUGAAAUGCUUAGAUAUCACGAAGAACUCCGAGUGCGAAGGCAGCUCACUGGACUGCAACUGACACUGAGGCUCGAAAGUGUGGGUAUCAAACAGGAUUAGAUACCCGAGUAGGC